rnacentral:lncRNA from 1 species
AGAAAAUGAAGGCAAACACGCACAAUUCACAAGUUGCACACCUAAUCUCUCAUCUCUCUCUCUCUCUAUUACGCUCUCCCGAUCUCCCUUUAGACCGCCACCGCCGAUCUAUUGAUUAUCCACGAUUGUCACUAAUCGCUCGCGCCUGUAAGUUCUUCAUUCUUCUUCAAUAAUUUGUGUUUUUUUUCCUUUUGUUCAAGAAGGCUGAAAGUUCUUCAAUUUUCUCCAAUAAUUUUUUUUUUUCUUUUUCUUCAACAAGGCUGGAGCUUAUGAAUCAACUGAAGAAAUCAAUGAGGCGAUUGAACCCAUGGAAAGACCUCCUGUGUGAAAAAACUCAUUGAAUCUAGGACAAAUGUAUGUUUUUUACCAUUCCCUUAUCUUCUCUAUUGAGGCAUUUUCAAGUAAUAUGUCUUUACAUAUUUGUUGGUGUUCGUAAUUUAUGGGGCUAAUCUUGAAUAUUGGGCCAGAUUUUAAUGUUUAAUUCACUAAAUGAAGACGAAAGGCACAUGCAUGUUAUUUCACUCUCUUAUAAUUUUAUCAGUUAUUUCAUUUGAUAAUUUAUUCAUAUAGAUAGGCUCAUGAAAAAGCUCAAGACUGGGAUACUUGCAAAUAAUUUAGAGGAGAUUGUUUAUAUUUUUGAAUAAUUCAGAGAAGACUAUGUCAUUUAAGUUUCCUGUAUAUGAAAGGCUCAUUAUUCACAAAUACAUAUCAAAUCUGGGUCAAAACCAUUCACUUAAGAUUACAUAUACGAAAUAUGAUCUUUCAUUUUAUUUAAUUUAAUCUCCAAUAUGUAAAAAUUAACUACUGAAUGUCUGGACAAAUGUGUUAUGCCUUGGGUCUGAGAGGUGUUGCAACAGGUUCUCAAAUGGUCCUUUCCUAGUCACAUCGUGCUGAACUACAAAUCCUAAGGAUGCACAGGCAUGUUAUUGUAGUCUCUUCUAAUUUUAUCGAGAUAUGGCAAUGAAGAAGCUGGCUGGGAUGCAAAUGCAACCUCUGAGGUCUAUCAGGUAUUAAUUAACUGCCUUAUUGCUUUAGAUUUUCAUUUUAAAUUUUAGCUUGUACUCUUUGUAUAAGAUUUUAGAUUUCAUUCUAAUUCAACUUUGCAGUUUUGUGGAGUAAUUUCUAGUUUGCUGACUAUUUUCCACUAGGUUUUUUUGUGCAAAGUCAAAAUCGACCAACCCAACCCAAUCUGACCGUAACUUGAUUAGGUUGGGUUGGAUUGGUUUGAAAGACAUAAAUGGGUUGGGUUGAUUUUCAAUCCAAACCAAUCGUGUUGGGUUGGGUUGGGUUUGAGUCAAAAAUCAACCCAACCCAAUCCAUGCCCACCCCUAAUUAAGAUAGCCCUUAUCCCAUGCCCAGAAGCAUCAGUCUCAAUUGUGAAGACUUGUAAAAAAUUCUGGAAGAGCCAAUACAGACAUUGUCGUCAUUGCUUCUUUCAAUUUUGUGAAGGUGGACUCCGUUGCGUCAUUCCACCCGAAGCUAUCUUACUCUAGUAGUUGAGUUCACGGCCAAGCUAUCUUUCCAUAGGAUCCCACAAAUCGUCGAUAAUAUCUAGUCAACACCCACCCUGCAGUUCUUUAAGUGUCUGAGGACGUGGCCAGUCUUUCAUAGUAGAUAACCUGUAUUUGUCUGUCACCACUCCAUUGUCUAAUAUGAUGUGCCCAAGAUACUCUAUCCCCGUUUGCCCAAAUGAACAUUUCUUCUUGUUUGCAAAGAGCUGGUUUUCUACUAGAAUUCAGCUCCACCAGAUUGAUAGACUCUGCCUCUGAAUUCAGCUGGAAUCCACCUGGAGUCAAGAUGAGAAUAGCACAGAGACAGAAAUAAAAUUCUGUAUUGAUUUGGAAAUGGAAUUACAAAACACGAAAGGAUUUACAAGCAGCAGUUAGAGAGGACUAUGACUCUCCACGCACUGAUUUCACUCACUAAAAUUAACAUAUCUUUCUUCUCUCAAUCUUUUUCUAUUUAUAGACUCAUGUAAUAGAUUUUGGCUACCUCACCACACCUGUCUAACAGAAUUUGUUACCCUCUCCUUUCUCCAUUCUGAUUGUUUCUUCUAGAAUAUGUGUAUUUAAUUGGGGACUUAUCAGUUGUCUUAUUUUCUGAAUGAAUUGUUGAGAACUUAAUGUGUCAUGUUAGGUUUUAUGUAAUUGGUGAUUUUGUGAACAAAAAAGACUAAAUUGAACACGUGUAAAGUCAAGGAGUUAGGUACAAUUUUGUAUAGACAAGUCAGGCAAGUUAGGAUUCGAGUCCGAAAUAAGAAAAGAAGAGACGUCACAUUUUCGCUAGCUACUGGCCAAAACAUUGUUCGAGCGACAAAAACAGAAUGAUUGUCGCUAGCCUGUCACUCGGACUUUGCUCAAUUUAAAGUCUGUCGCUCAUUUUUUGCUGGAGUGACCGUGUUAUGUGACCAACCCUAAUUUGCAAUUUUGAAAAGUUUUACAUGGACUAUAAUACCUAAAAAUCUGUAAAUAUAAAUAUCCAAGCUUUGUACUUUUUUAUGGUGGUUGUUCAUUAUGCCUCAUAUACAUAUCAUAUUCAUAUCAAUCUUUUGGUGAUCCAAGACUCACUCAUAGCUUGAUUCAAUCCUUUGAUUCUUGAGAUCUUGCAACCACAUAUUUGGGAAAACAUCAAAUACUUGAAUCCAAAACACCUAACUUCUUAACACUGUAAGGAAGAGACUUUUUUAGUUGGGCAUUGGGAGAGGUGGACUGCAAGCACGGGAAAGCAUAAGAAUUGACUAUUCUUGAAAUUCCGCUUGGAAGAGACAAUUGGAGAUAAUCGGGAAGCCAGUGGAGUCAGCAAAUCUGGGAGAUUACACGAGGUUGAUCGAAAAGUUUAGUGGAGUUAGCUAGAUAGUAUCUAACUGUAACGCUUAUUGUCUAUAGUGGAGGUAACUAACUUGGUUCCCGAGUUUUUAUCUAUUUGGGUUUCUCCAUCAACAAUAUUGGUGUUAUUUAUUGCUUUCAUAGUACAAACUACAGUAAUUCAACAAAGAAAAUUUUGACUUGCAUGCGUAACCAUCUAAAAAUAAUUAAUAAGUGACUUGUCGCUUGUAAUUGUAUAUUCCGCAUGUAAGGACAAACUAAAUCAGACAAGUAAAAGAACUUUCAAUAAUCCUUAUGAGUAGUAGGUGUAGUUAUAUACUGGUUUGAAGUUUGAAGUGCUGCGAGUGUUUAUGGAUAGGCUUCCGGUUCUUGGUAGUGCUUGUAACAUUGAACUAUUGCAAACCUGUUUCAUGGUGAAAUAGUGCAAUGGGGACAUAUCUGUCAUUUAUGAGGAGAGCGUUGAGAAUUAGAAACUCUAAUUCAAUACCACUGAGAGUAAUAAUAUCACAGAAAGAAAAUAGACAUACAAAAAUGAGCAAAAUUUAUAGAAGUUUGUAUUAAUGUGGGACUACAUUAUCUUUCGUAACUACGAUAAAAAGAAGUUUACAAGAAAAACUCACACUUUAGGUAGAUUCGCGUACAUUAUCUACACAAUGACAAUAAUUAGGUUCCACAAUUUAGCAAAGAGUUCCAAAGAGAGACGUAAGCAGUGGCCAGCUGAAUUCCCUGCCCUUAAUUAGUGGCAAAAGAAUUCUGGUGUUCUUUUGAUUUCUUGCACGUGAUUUUAUUUUCUGCUGCGCGAUUCUUGUUAUCUGAUACCUAACACUAUGAAGGAACUCCUGAUGAUGAGGCUUGGGUAGUGGAUCUUCGUUGAGGCUACACAUGUGAAGGUGCUAAAUUCUACUUUGUGAGAAUUAUUAUUGAUAAAUGAGUUGUAGGUGGUACUCACUUUGUUCUGUAGUAUCUGUACCAAUUGUAUUGUUUCUUCGUUUGUAAUAGUGUUAUCAUUUAUGAUAGUGGACAAAAGCUCUAAAUCAAUCCAACAUUCCCUUGAGAUUUUAUGCAAUGCGAAGCAAGAAACAUUCAAUGCACGUCUAAAGAUCAGUUAAUCAAGCGAAUACGGGAUAUAUGUGGAG